GCUGUGAGCUCGAUGAGUAGGGCGGGACACGUGGUAUCCUGUCUGAAUAUGGGGGGACCAUCCUCCAAGGCUAAAUACUCCUGACUGACCGAUAGUGAACCAGUACCGUGAGGGAAAGGCGAAAAGAACCCCGGCGAGGGGAGUGAAAAAGAACCUGAAACCGUGUACGUACAAGCAGUGGGAGCCCCACCACCAAAGCAUUCUCUGGUGUUGAAGGCCCUGCAAAGCAGCAUCGCGGUGGCGGAGCGUCGUUUGCGACGCCCAACACACAAAACAAGCGGUGAAUGCUUUGGGGUGGGGUGACUGCGUACCUUUUGUAUAAUGGGUCAGCGACUUAUAUUCUGUAGCAAGGUUAACCGUAUAGGGGAGCCGUAGGGAAACCGAGUCUUAACCGGGCGUUAAGUUGCAGGGUAUAGACCCGAAACCCGGUGAUCUAGCCAUGGGCAGGUUGAAGGUUGGGUAACACUAACUGGAGGACCGAACCGACUAAUGUUGAAAAAUUAGCGGAUGACCUGUGGCUGGGGGUGAAAGGCCAAUCAAACCGGGAGAUAGCUGGUUCUCCCCGAAAGCUAUUUAGGUAGCGCCUCGUGAAUUCAUCUCCGGGGGUAGAGCACUGUUUCGGCUAGGGGGCCAUCCCGGCUUACCAACCCGAUGCAAACUGCGAAUACCGGAGAAUGUUAUCACGGGAGACACACGGCGGGUGCUAACGUCCGUCGUGAAGAGGGAAACAACCCAGACCGCCAGCUAAGGUCCCAAAGUCAUGGUUAAGUGGGAAACGAUGUGGGAAGGCCCAGACAGCCAGGAUGUUGGCUUAGAAGCAGCCAUCAUUUAAAGAAAGCGUAAUAGCUCACUGGUCGAGUCGGCCUGCGCGGAAGAUGUAACGGGGCUAAACCAU
rnacentral:rRNA from 1 species